AGCGAACGCUGGCUGCAGGCCUAACACAUGCAAGUCGAACGAACCUUUCGGGGUUAGUGGCGGACGGGUGAGUAACACGUGGGAACGUGCCUUUAGGUUCGGAAUAACUCAGGGAAACUUGUGCUAAUACCGAAUGUGCCCUUCGUGGUAAAGAUUUAUCGCCUUUAGAGCGGCCCGCGUCUGAUUAGCUAGUUGGCUGAGGUAAUGGCUCACCAAGGCGACGAUCAGUAGCUGGUCUGAGAGGAUGAUCAGCCACAUUGGGACUGAGACACGGCCCAAACUCCUACGGGAGGCAGCAGUGGGGAAUCUUGCGCAAUGGGCGAAAGCCUGACGCAGCCAUGCCGCGUGAAUGAUGAAGGUCUUAGGAUUGUAAAAUUCUUUCACCGGGGACGAUAAUGACGGUACCCGGAGAAGAAGCCCCGGCUAACUUCGUG
rnacentral:rRNA from 1 species